AAAUCCCUUUUGUACGGUGGUACUGGUAAGGAUUUGAAAUUUCUUCUCGCAUCAACCCUCGACGUGCUACCUUCUCCGACGAACCUACGCCGUUGGGGAAACACCGUAGUGGAUCCGUACUGUAGUUUGUGCCGUACCUGGGCCUGUACUACGCGCCACCUGCUUGGCGCUUGUCGCGUAGCGCUGGACCAGGGACGUUACACCUGGAGGCACGACAACGUACUCGGGGUCAUCGUCAGGAACAUGCGUGAGGAGAUUCGAAUCCGCGCUGCUGCAAACACCGUACAAACCGAAAAUUCAAAUGAGCUUGACUUCAUCUCGUUUUGCAAGGCGGGAGAGAAGCCAGUUCGCGUUCAGCCCAGACGAAAGUUGGUUACGACUGAUCUCCUGUCAGCGGCCUCAGACUGGAAACUUCUUGUCGACUCAGUUAGUGCAAAGAUUUCUUUCCCUAGCUGUGUUGCACUUACCACCCUCAGACCAGAUAUAGUUCUGUACUCUACGAGUCGUAGGAUUGUAUUCUGGAUGGAGUUGACAGUUUGUGCUGAGGACAGAUUCAGUGUCAGUAACUCGCGGAAGGACAGGCGGUAUGCGGAUCUGGCCGAUCAAUGCCGAGCAAACGGGUGGCAGGUCGUUUCUUUUUCGGUUGAGUAAGACGUCUCUGCGAAGCAGCUACAUCAUCUGGUUGCGGCGUCAACAAAAACACUGGUCGGAAGAUCCACUUUUCUGAGGUACUGUAUGUGGGGCUCCGUUUAUUGAGGUGCGUUGAAAUUUAUUCUCUUUAUCUUAUUAUUUCUUUUCUAUAAUUUCCCCAUAUGAGUUCCUAUCAGUUGCUGUGAACACCUUGAGUGGAGAGCGCUUGCUCGAGCGUUGAACCGGGUUCUUAAUCCACCAUACCCAGUUCGCAAGGCUGGGCGGGGUUGUGAGCAGGCUUUCAUUUCAUCUUUUCUUAUUAUUUCUUAUUAUUUCUGCUUUUCAUCUCAUUACAAAAAUUCUGCGCUUUUUCUCCAUCUGCGCAUAAAAUCUAGACUGACAACCUGCUUGUUAAAUCAUGCACCUGCUUUCAGGCGUAAAAACCCUGUUGUAGAGGUCUCAGUCCUCAUUUGUUAGAC